AUGCCCCUUAUGACCUGGGCUACACACGUGCUACAAUGGACGGUACAAAGAGCUGCAAGACCGCGAGGUGGAGCUAAUCUCAUAAAACCGUUCUCAGUUCGGAUUGUAGGCUGCAACUCGCCUACAUGAAGCUGGAAUCGCUAGUAAUCGCGGAUCAGCAUGCCGCGGUGAAUACGUUCCCGGGCCUUGUACACACCGCCCGUCACACCACGAGAGUUUGUAACACCCGAAGUCGGUGGGGUAACCUUUUUGGAGCCAGCCGCCUAAGGUGGGACAGAUGAUUGGGGUGAAGUCGUAACAAGGUAGCCGUAUCGGAAGGUGCGGCUGGAUCACCUCCUUUCUAUGGAGA
rnacentral:rRNA from 1 species